GACAUCCAGCGAACUUUCCAGAGAUGGAUUGGUGCCUUCGGGAACGCUGAGACGGUGCUGCAUGGCUGUCGUCAGCUCGUGUUGUGAAAUGUUGGGUUAAGUCCCGNAACGAGCGCAACCCUUAUCCUUUGUUGCCAGCGAUUCGGUCGGGAACUCAAAGGAGACUGCCGGUGAUAAACCGGAGGAAGGUGGGGAUGACGUCAAGUCAUCAUGGCCCUUACGAGUAGGGCUACACACGUGCUACAAUGGCGCAUACAAAGAGAAGCGACCUCGCGAGAGCAAGCGGACCUCAUAAAGUGCGUCGUAGUCCGGAUCGGAGUCUGCAACUCGACUCCGUGAAGUCGGAAUCGCUAGUAAUCGUGGAUCAGAAUGCCACGGUGAAUACGUUCCCGGGCCUUGUACACACCGCCCGUCACACCAUGGGAGUGGGUUGCAAAAGAAGUAGGUAGCUUAACCCUCGGGAGGGCGCUUACCACUUUGUGAUUCAUGACUGGGGUGAAGUCGUAACAAGGUAAGCGUAGCGAG
rnacentral:rRNA from 1 species